UUCUGGUUGAUCCUGCCAGAGGCCACUGCUAUCGGAGUUCGAUUAAGCCAUGCGAGUCGAGAGGGGAAAGCCCUCGGCAUACUGCUCAGUAACACGUGGAUAACCUGCCCUGCGGUGGGAAAUAACCCCGGGAAACUGGGGAUAAUGUCCCAUAGACUACGGAUACUGGAAUGUUCUGUAGUUCAAAGAUUUAUCGCCACAGGAUGGGUCUGCGGCCGAUUAGGUAGUUGUUGGGGUAACGGCCCAACAAGCCUUUGAUCGGUACGGGUUGUGGGAGCAAGAGCCCGGAGAUGGAUUCUGAGACACGAAUCCAGGCCCUACGGGGCGCAGCAGGCGCGAAAACUUUACAAUGCGGGAAACCGUGAUAAGGGAACUCCGAGUGUCCGUAAAUGCGGACUGUCCGUAUGUUUAAAAAGCAUGCGAAGAAAGGGCCGGGCAAGACCGGUGCCAGCCGCCGCGGUAAUACCGGCGGCUCGAGUGGUGGCCACUAUUAUUGGGCUUAAAGCGUUCGUAGCUGGGUUGUUAAGUUUCUUGGGAAAUCAACCGGCUUAACCGAUAGGCGUCCAAGGGAUACUGGCAAUCUAGGGACCGGGAGAGGUGAGGGGUACUUCAGGGGUAGGAGUGAAAUCCUGUAAUCCUUGGGGGACCACCUGUGGCGAAGGCGCCUCACCAGAACGGCUCCGACAGUGAGGGACGAAAGCUGGGGGAGCAAACCGGAUUAGAUACCCGGGUAGUCCCAGCCGUAAACGAUGCGCGUUAGGUGUAUCGAUGACCACGAGUCAUCGAGGUGCCGAAGGGAAACCGUGAAACGCGCCGCCUGGGAAGUACGGUCGCAAGGCUGAAACUUAAAGGAAUUGGCGGG
rnacentral:rRNA from 1 species